rnacentral:rRNA from 1 species
UGCGUAGGCGGGUCUUUAAGUCAGGGGUGAAAUCCUGGAGCUCAACUCCAGAACUGCCUUUGAUACUGAAGAUCUUGAGUUCGGGAGAGGUGAGGUGGAACUGCGAGUGUAGAGGUGAAAUUCGUAGAUAUUCGCAAGAACACCAGUGGCGAAGGCGGCUCACUGGCCCGAUACUGACGCUGAGGCACGAAAGCGUGGGAGCAAACA